GACGAACGCUGGCGGCGUGCUUAACACAUGCAAGUCGAACGGUAAGGCCCUUCGGGGUACACGAGUGGCGAACGGGUGAGUAACACGUGGGUGAUCUGCCCUGCACUUCGGGAUAAGCCUGGGAAACUGGGUCUAAUACCGGAUAGGACCACUGCCUGCAUGGGUGGUGGUGGAAAGCUUUUGCGGUGUGGGAUGGGCCCGCGGCCUAUCAGCUUGUUGGUGGGGUGAUGGCCUACCAAGGCGACGACGGGUAGCCGGCCUGGGAGGGUGACCAGCCACACUGGGACUGAGAUACGGCCCAGACUCCUACGGGAGGCAGGAGUGGGGAAUAUUGCACAAUGGGCGCAAGCCUGAUGCAGCGACGCCGCGUGAGGGAUGACGGCCUUCGGGUUGUAAACCUCUUUCAGCACCGACGAAGCGCAAGUGACGGUAGGUGCAGAAGAAGGACCGGCCAACUACGUGCCAGCAGCCGCGGUAA
rnacentral:rRNA from 1 species